UACGUAGGGGGCAAGCGUUGUCCGGAUUCAUUGGGCGUAAAGAGCGUGUAGGCGGCCAGGUAGGUCGGUUGUGAAAACUGGAGGCUCAACCUUCAGAGGUCGACCGAAACCAUCUGGCUAGAGUCCGGGAGAGGAGAGUGGAAUUCCUGGUGUAGCGGUGGAAUGCGCAGAUAUCAGGAGGAACACCAAUAGCGAAGGCAGCUCGCUGGGACGUUACUGACACUAAGGCGCGAAAGCGUGGGGAGCGAACAGG
rnacentral:rRNA from 1 species